UACGGGGGGGAGCAAGCGUUGUUCGGAUUUACUGGGCGUAAAGGGCGCGUAGGCGGCUUGGCAAGUGGAAGGUGAAAUCCCUCGGCUUAACCGAGGAACUGCCCUCCAAACUGCUUUGCUUGAGGCCGGGAGGGGGUAGCGGAAUUCCCAGUGUAGCGGUGAAAUGCGUAGAUAUUGGGAGGAACACCAGUGGCGAAGGCGGCUACCUGGACCGGUUCUGACGCUGAUUGUGCGAAAGCUAGGGGAGCAAACAGG
rnacentral:rRNA from 1 species